GAUGAACGCUGGCGGCGUGCCUAAUACAUGCAAGUCGAGCGAACAGAUAAGGAGCUUGCUCCUUUGACGUUAGCGGCGGACGGGUGAGUAACACGUGGGUAACCUACCUAUAAGACUGGAAUAACUCCGGGAAACCGGGGCUAAUGCCGGAUAACAUUUAGAACCGCAUGGUUCUAAAGUGAAAGAUGGUUUUACUAUCACUUAUAGAUGGACCCGCGCCGUAUUAGCUAGUUGGUAAGGUAACGGCUUACCAAGGCAACGAUACGUAGCCGACCUGAGAGGGUGAUCGGCCACACUGGAACUGAGACACGGUCCAGACUCCUACGGGAGGCAGCAGUAGGGAAUCUUCCGCAAUGGGCGAAAGCCUGACGGAGCAACGCCGCGUGAGUGAUGAAGGUCUUCGGAUCGUAAAACUCUGUUAUUAGGGAAGAACAAAUGUGUAAGUAACUGUGCACGUCUUGACGGUACCUAAGCAGAAAGCCACGGCUAACUACGU
rnacentral:rRNA from 1 species